UUUUAAUAAAUUUUAAAGUCUAAUCUGCCCUAUGAGGGUUUAAAUGGCCGCGGUACUUUGACCGUGCAAAGGUAGCAUAAUAAUUAGUUUUUUAAUUGAAAGCUGGAAUGAAUGAUUGGACGAGAAAAUAACUGUCUCAAUUUAAUUUUUUUAAAAUUUUAUUUUUAAGUAAGAAAGCUUAAAUAUUAUUAAAAGACGAGAAGACCCUAUAGAGUUUUAUAAUUAGUUUGAUAUUAAUUUUUGAGAAUUAUUUUAUUAAUAUUGAGUUAAUUAUUUUGUUGGGGCGAUAGAGAAAUAUUAUUAACUUUUUUUUAUUAUUAGUUCAUUAAUUUAUGAAUAAAUGAUCCAUUUUUUAUGAUUAUAAGAAUAAGUUACCUUAGGGAUAACAGCGUUAUUUUUUUUUAGAGUUCUUAUCGAAAAAAAAGAUUGCGACCUCGAUGUUGGAUUAAAAUAUAUGUUUGGUGUAGAAGCUAAAUAAUUAGGUCCGUUCGACCUUUAAAUUU
rnacentral:rRNA from 1 species